rnacentral:rRNA from 1 species
CAAUAGCGUAUAUUUAAGUUGUUGCAGUUAAAAAGCUCGUAGUUGGAUUUCGGUUAAGAGCGACCGGUCCGCCGUUUGGUGUGCACUGGUUGGUUUUAACUUCCUGUAGAGGACGUGCUCUGGGUUUAACGACCUGGACUCGGAGUCUACGUGGUUACUUUGAAAAAAUUAGAGUGUUCAAAGCGGGCUUACGCUUGAAUAUUUCAGCAUGGAAUAACACUAUAGGACUCCUGUCCUAUUUCGUUGGUCUCGGGGCGGGAGUAAUGAUUAAGAGGAACAGUUGGGGGCAUUCGUAUUUCAUUGUCAGAGGUGAAAUUCUUGGAUUUAUGAAAGACGAACUUCUGCGAAAGCAUUUGCCAAGGAUGUUUUCAUUAA